GAUGAACGCUGGCGGCGUGCCUAAUACAUGCAAGUCGAGCGAACAGAUGAGGAGCUUGCUCCUCUGACGUUAGCGGCGGACGGGUGAGUAACACGUGGAUAACCUACCUAUAAGACUGGGAUAACUUCGGGAAACCGGAGCUAAUACCGGAUAAUAUAUUGAACCGCAUGGUUCAAUAGUGAAAGACGGUUUUGCUGUCACUUAUAGAUUGAUCCGCGCCGCAUUAGCUAGUUGGUAAGGUAACGGCUUACCAAGGCAACGAUGCGUAGCCGACCUGAGAGGGUGAUCGGCCACACUGGAACUGAGACACGGUCCAGACUCCUACGGGAGGCAGCAGUAGGGAAUCUUCCGCAAUGGGCGAAAGCCUGACGGAGCAACGCCGCGUGAGUGAUGAAGGUCUUCGGAUCGUAAAACUCUGUUAUUAGGGAAGAACAAAUGUGUAAGUAACUAUGCACGUCUGGACGGUACCUAAUCAGAAAGCCACGGCUAACUACGU
rnacentral:rRNA from 1 species